AUCAUAAGAUUUCCCUUCGGGGACAGUGGUGACAGGUGGUGCAUGGUUUGUCGUCAGCUCGUGUCGUGAGAUGUUGGGUUAAGUCCCGCAACGAGCGCAAACCCUUGCCUUUAGUUGCCAGCAUUAAGUUGGGCACUCUAGAGGGACUGCCGAGGAUAACUCGGAGGAAGGUGGGGAUGACGUCAAAAUCAUCAUGCCCCUUAUGCUUAGGGCUACACACGUGCUACAAUGGGUGGUACAGAGGGUUGCCAAGCCGCGAGGUGGAGCAAAUCUCCUUAAAGCCAAUUCUCAGUUCGGAUUGUAGGCUGCAAACUC
rnacentral:rRNA from 1 species